AGUGAACGCUGGCGGUAGGCCUAACACAUGCAAGUCGAACGGCAGCACAGUAAGAGCUUGCUCUUACGGGUGGCGAGUGGCGGACGGGUGAGGAAUACAUCGGAAUCUACUUUUUCGUGGGGGAUAACGUAGGGAAACUUACGCUAAUACCGCAUACGACCUACGGGUGAAAGCAGGGGAUCUUCGGACCCUGCGCGAUUGAAUGAGCCGAUGUCGGAUUAGCUAGUUGGCGGGGUAAAGGCCCACCAAGGCGACGAUCCGUAGCUGGUCUGAGAGGAUGAUCAGCCACACUGGAACUGAGACACGGUCCAGACUCCUACGGGAGGCAGCAGUGGGGAAUAUUGGACAAUGGGCGCAAGCCUGAUCCAGCCAUACCGCGUGGGUGAAGAAGGCCUUCGGGUUGUAAAGCCCUUUUGUUGGGAAAGAAAAGCAGCAGGUUAAUACCCCGCUGUCCUGACGGUACCCAAAGAAUAAGCACCGGCUAACUUCGUG
rnacentral:rRNA from 1 species